UUAUCUCUGUGUGUGUGUUUUGCGUCGUGACACUUCUCCAUUAUCGUCCCUCUACGACAACGUACCUGGAGGGGAAGGAAAAAACUCCUGUCCAAUUGUGCCUGAGCUGGGUGUGACCCUUUAAAGAAUGUCAAACAAAGACAGGGAGAGGUAGCGAGAGAGAGUGAGCGCCUCCUGAAUGGAGGGACUGUCACGCCUGUUGGUUUCCCACAGUCAACAUUACAUCAACAGCUCUAGUGAGGACAGGACCUACCUUACCUGGUUUGCCUACUGAGGGUGAGGACAGGACAUACUUACCUGGUUUGCCUACUGAGGGUGAGGACAGGACAUACUUUACCUGGUUUCCCUACUGAGGUUAACGGAGGAGCGGGUUUCAACUCGAGUCUGUCCGAAGCAACCGGUGGGAGUUGUAUGAGUGAGGUUGCCGUGGGAUCGUGUCUUUCAGGAUGAUUGACACCUUAUACGAGUGGAUUUGGUGGACCGCUUCUGGCUGCCAGUCAACCUGACCUGGGCGGACCUAGAGGACCGAGAUGGGCGUGUCUACGCCAAAGCCUCUGACUCUAUAUGUGACGUUGCCUUACGCCAUAGUCUCCUCCUGGUCAGAUACCUGUUCGAAAGGUUGAUAGCCACGCCUCUAGCAGCCUCAGUGGGAUCCGGGAGAAGGCCAGACUGAGAGUAGCAACAACCCCAUCCUCGAGCUCUACUAUCUCUCUCACUCCAGAACCCUGGCCAGGCAGUUAAAGAUGGUCUGUCUAAGAAGAGCGGCUGGUGCGUUAGGCAGGUGGAGCGCUGGUUCAGAAAGAGAAGAAACCAGGAUCGUCCCGGAGUACUGAAGAAGUUCAGAGAGGCUGGUUGGAGGUUUGUGUUCUAUCUGUUGGCGUUAAUUGGAGGAGUUGUGUCCCUGUAUGAUAAAGAAUGGUUUUAUGAUACGCGGGGAAGUGUGGAAUGGAUUUCCUAAACAGGUGCGUGUGUUGUGUGUGUG